rfam:Brachypodium distachyon strain Bd21 chromosome 1, whole genome shotgun sequence.
UCGGUACUCCCUCCGAUCCAUAUUACUUGUCGCAAUAUUAUAUGUAUCUAGACACUUUUUAAACAUAGAUGCAUUCAUAUUUGAACCAAUUUGCGACAAGUAAUAUGAAUCGGAGAGAGUAUUAG